rnacentral:lncRNA from 1 species
GUCUUUGGGCAAAUACUGGAUAAAGAGCCAUCAUUCCUCUAGCCACUGUGGUGAGUGAAGACUUUACUGCACAAGAGGUGGCUGCAGCCAGGAAAUUAGCCUGGUCCUGCCACAGUUACGGAGGAUCCAGGAAGAGUAGAUCUGCCAAUGAGAAGGUAAGAUAAUUUCAGCAAGCAAGGAUGAAAUGCGCUCCAUCGUGGGGUCUCACCUGGGGCCGUGCCUCGCUGGAUGCAGAGAGCUCAUCUCCUAGGAGCAUUCCCUGCUUGGCCUUCCAGCUAUCCAGGAUGUGCUUUUGAAUAAUGCUGAUACAUGAAGGAAAGGAGGAACAAUCCCACUGAUUUUAACCAGUUGUGAAAUCCAUAGGAAAAAGAUGUGGGCAUAUUGCGUCUCAUUAUUCCAGCCUUCUCUUUGUGGCUUUCCCUGCGGUUUUGUUCAGCUGCAUUAUUCUCUGGCGCCGGAAUGCCGUGUUUCUUCGAUCAGAGGCCGGAUCCUACCCUCUGAAAAAAGCAGUACCUUUGACAUGACUGGCCCCCAGCCAGAUGAGGAGACCAGUUGGCACCUCAGUCAAAUACAUUUUUACGCCACAGAGCAGCUCCCCCACACACACUGUGAGCUGCUGGAGGCUGCACAGGUCUUACUUAACAACCUCGGCCGUAUAGCCAACUGGGUCUUGCACAAGCAUCUCCAAGAAGUCACAGCCUUUCUGUUAAAUUCAGUGAGUUUUGGAAUUAAGUUCAUGCCAGAUCCAGGGGGAAAGGAAUGAAUCCCACAGAAAAGCGGUCAGCGCACAUACCACCCUCAUUCCCUAUUGCAUUGUCCGUAUUGUAUGUCAAAACUCUGGUCACGGAGUGAAAAUUCCUGGACACAAUGACAAGACCUGUCACUUCAUCCCUCAUCUGUGUUGGGACAAUGUUGUAAAAAGCUAACACAAGCCACCGAGCACUCCAGCUGAUAACGAAGACCUUUGAUCUUUCUUUGGUGUUUUCUGGGAAUGCUCACUUCUAAAUCACACUCAAAGUGGGGGCAGUGCCGGGGCACCUCUCCUUGAAGCAUAUUAACAUACUGACCUCGGCCUCUUUGUCCUGGAGUCAGGCAUAUGAUAUGGCUAAUGAGUGAGAUCAGCAAUAAAAUACUGGCCAUGGAUGGGAAUAAAGCA